rnacentral:rRNA from 1 species
UACGUAGGUGGCGAGCGUUGUCCGGAUUUACUGGGCGUAAAGAGCGCGCAGGCGGUCGUUCAAGUCGCGUGUGAAAGCCCCCGGCUCAACUGGGGAGGGUCACGCGAUACUGAUCGACUCGAAGGCAGGAGAGGGAAGUGGAAUUCCCGGUGUAGUGGUGAAAUGCGUAGAUAUCGGGAGGAACACCAGUGGCGAAGGCGGUUGCCUGGAGCUUUGCUGACGCUGAUGCGCGAAAGCGUGGGGAGCGAUCCGG